UACGGAGGGUGCAAGCGUUAUCCGGAUUUACUGGGCUUAAAGGGUGCGUAGGUGGGUCUGUAAGUCAGUGGUGAAAUCUCCGGGCUUAACCCGGAAACUGCCAUUGAUACUAUAGAUCUUGAAUAUCCUGGAGGUGAGCGGAAUAUGUCAUGUAGCGGUGAAAUGCUUAGAUAUGACAUAGAACACCAAUUGCGAAGGCAGCUCACUACGGGAUUAUUGACACUGAGGCACGAAAGCGUGGGGAUCAAACAGG
rnacentral:rRNA from 1 species